UUGGGCGUACAGAGCUCGUANGCGGUUUGUCGCGUCUGCCGUGAAAGUCCGGGGCUCAACUCCGGAUCUGCGGUGGGUACGGGCAGACUAGAGUGAUGUAGGGGAGACUGGAAUUCCUGGUGUAGCGGUGAAAUGCGCAGAUAUCAGGAGGAACACCGAUGGCGAAGGCAGGUCUCUGGGCAUUAACUGACGCUGAGGAGCGAAAGCAUGGGGAGCGAACAGGAUUAGAUACCCUGGUAGUCCAUGCCGUAAACGUUGGGCACUAGGUGUGGGGGACAUUCCACGUUUUCCGCGCCGUAGCUAACGCAUUAAGUGCCCCGCCUGGGGAGUACGGCCGCAAGGCUAAAACUCAAAGGAAUUGACGGGGGCCCGCACAAGCGGCGGAGCAUGCGGAUUAAUUCGAUGCAACGCGAAGAACCUUACCAAGGCUUGACAUGAACCGGAAACACCUGGAAACAGGUGCCCCGCUUGCGGUCGGUUUACAGGUGGUGCAUGGUUGUCGUCAGCUCGUGUCGUGAGAUGUUGGGUUAAGUCCCGCAACGAGCGCAACCCUCGUUCUAUGUUGCCAGCGCGUUAUGGCGGGGACUCAUAGGAGACUGCCGGGGUCAACUCGGAGGAAGGUGGGGACGACGUCAAAUCAUCAUGCCCCUUAUGUCUUGGGCUUCACGCAUGCUACAAUGGCCGGUACAAAGGGUUGCGAUACUGUGAGGUGGAGCUAAUCCCAAAAAGCCGGUCUCAGUUCGGAUUGGGGUCUGCAACUCGACCCCAUGAAGUCGGAGUCGCUAGUAAUCGCAGAUCAGCAACGCUGCGGUGAAUACGUUCCCGGGC
rnacentral:rRNA from 1 species